UACAGAGGGGGCAAGCGUUGCUCGGAAUCACUGGGCGUAAAGCGCACGUAGGCGGAUUGUUAAGUCAGGGGUGAAAUCCUGGAGCUCAACUCCAGAACUGCCUUUGAUACUGGCGAUCUCGAGUCCGGGAGAGGUGAGUGGAACUGCGAGUGUAGAGGUGAAAUUCGUAGAUAUUCGCAAGAACACCAGUGGCGAAGGCGGCUCACUGGCCCGGUACUGACGCUGAGGAGCGAAAGCGUGGGUAGCAAACAGG
rnacentral:rRNA from 1 species